UAUGUACUCUCUUCGUCUGAAAAACCUUGUUCCAACCUUGUUCUUCAAAUGGAUGUAUCUAAUACUAAUUUGGUGCUAGAUACAUCAAUUUGAGGGACAAACUUUUUUAAACGGAGGGAGUAUGCG
rnacentral:pre_miRNA from 1 species